AUUGAACGCUGGCGGCAGGCCUAACACAUGCAAGUCGGGCGGAGCGGCGGACGGGUGAGCAAUGUAUGGGGAUCUGCCUGAUGGCGGGGGAUAACUACUGGAAACGGUAGCUAAUACCGCAUACUAUCAGAUGAGCCUAGGUCGGAUUAGCUAGUUGGUGGGGUAAAGGCCUCCCAAGGCGACGCUCCGUAACUGGUCUGAGAGGAUGAUCAGUCCCACGGGAACGGAGACACGGUCCAGACUCCUACGUGAGGCAGCAGUGGGGAAUGUUUGACACGGGGCGAAAGCCUGGUCCAGCCAUGCGGCGUGUGUGAGGAAGGUCUUCGGAUUGUAAAGCACUUUAAGUUGGGAGGCGUUACCAGCAGAAGAAGCACCGGCUAACUUCGUGCCAGCAGCCGCGGUAAUAC
rnacentral:rRNA from 1 species